rnacentral:rRNA from 1 species
GAUGAACGCUGGCGGCGUGCUUAACACAUGCAAGUCGAACGAAGUAUAUUGGAAUGAGUUCUUCGGAACAAAUGAAUUUAUACUUAGUGGCGGACGGGUGAGUAACGCGUGGAUAACCUGCCUUACACUGGGGGACAACAGUUAGAAAUGACUGCUAGUACCGCAUAAGCGCACAGUACCGCAUGGUACGGUGUGAAAAACUCCGGUGGUGUAAGAUGGAUCCGCGUCUGAUUAGCUAGUUGGUGAGGUAAUGUCUCACCAAGGCGACGAUCAGUAGCCGGCCUGAGAGGGUGAACGGCCACAUUGGGACUGAGACACGGCCCAGACUCCUACGGGAGGCAGCAGUGGGGAAUAUUGCACAAUGGGCGAAAGCCUGAUGCAGCGACGCCGCGUGAGCGAAGAAGUAUUUCGGUAUGUAAAGCUCUAUCAGCAAGGAAGAUAAUGACGGUACUUGACUAAGAAGCCCCGGCUAACUACGUGCCAGCAGCCGCCGCGG